rnacentral:rRNA from 1 species
UGGGGAAUUUUGGACAAUGGGCGCAAGCCUGAUCCAGCAAUGCCGCGUGAGUGAAGAAGGCCUUCGGGUUGUAAAGCUCUUUUGUCAGGGAAGAAACGGCUGUGGCUAAUAUCCACGGCUAAUGACGGUACCUGAAGAAUAAGCACCGGCUAACUACGUGCCAGCAGCCGCGGUAAUACGUAGGGUGCAAGCGUUAAUCGGAAUUACUGGGCGUAAAGCGUGCGCAGGCGGUUUUGUAAGUCUGUCGUGAAAUCCCCGGGCUCAACCUGGGAAUUGCGAUGGAGACUGCAAGGCUAGAAUCUGGCAGAGGGGGGUAGAAUUCCACGUGUAGCAGUGAAAUGCGUAGAGAUGUGGAGGAACACCGAUGGCGAAGGCAGCCCCCUGGGUCAAGAUUGACGCUCAUGCACGAAAGCGUGGGGAGCAAACA